rnacentral:rRNA from 1 species
GACGAACGCUGGCGGCGUGCUUAACACAUGCAAGUCGAACGAAGUGGCGAACGGGUGAGUAAUACGUGAGUACCCCGCCCUCCUUUUUGGGAUAAGCCUUAGAAACGGGGUCUAAUACCGAAUAAAGGGGGAUGUGCUCGCGGCCUAUCAGCUUGUUGGGGGGGUGAUGGCGUACCAAGGAGGUGACGGGUAGCCGGCCUGGGAGGGUGACCGACUACAUUGGGGGUGUGAGACGUGCCAGAUAUCUACUGGAGGAAGCAGUGGGGGUUAUUGCACAAUGGGCGUAAGUCUGAUACAGCGACGCCGCGUGGGGGAUGAAGUCUUUCGGGUUGUAAACCUCAUUCGCUAUCGAACGGGUAUGUUGAGAAGAAGCGCCGGCUAACUACGUGCCAGACGCCGCGGUAAUUC